rnacentral:rRNA from 1 species
GACGAACGCUGGCGGCGUGCUUAACACAUGCAAGUCGUACGGUAAGGCCCUUUCGGGGGUACACGAGUGGCGCACGGGUGAGUAACACGUGCGUAACCUGCCCACAACUUUGGGAUAACGCUAGGAAACUGGUGCUAAUACUGGAUAUGUGCUCCUGCUGCAUGGUGGGGGUUGGAAAGCUCCGGCGGUUGUGGAUGGACUCGCGGCCUAUCAGCUUGUUGGUGGGGUAGUGGCCUACCAAGGCGGCGACGGGUAGCCGGCCUGAGAGGGUGACCGGCCACAUUGGGACUGAGAUACGGCCCAGACUCCUACGGGAGGCAGCAGUGGGGAAUAUUGCACAAUGGGCGCAAGCCUGAUGCAGCAACGCCGCGUGCGGGAUGACGGCCUUAGGGUUGUAAACCGCUUUCAGCAGGGACGAAGCUUUUUGUGACGGUACCUGCAGAAGAAGCACCGGCUAACUACGUG